UGCCAGUAGUGUAUGCUUCUCCUAAAGACUAAGCCAUGCAUGCCUUCGAAUACGAGGAAGCAAUUCUCUCUGAAUCUGCGAACGGCUCCGCAAACCAGUUGUAAACUAUAGCAAGCAAUCCUGCGGGCGGCUUCGGCUGCUCGUGGGUAACAUGGAUAACCCUGGUAAUUCUGAGGCUAAUACAAGAACGUACUCCCUGGCUGACCGGCAACGGAAGGCUGGGGAGCGUGCAACGUAUCGUAGGGAUAAACCGGGGAAUGGGUGCACGCUUGGACCGCGCUAAAGACAGAUCUCGGCGAGCCUUCGGGUGAGCCUUGGCCUGAGCGGCUCUUGCUGUGUGCUUCUGACCUAUCAACUAGACGGCAGCGUAAGGGACAUGCUAUGGUUACAACGGGUACAGAGGAUUAGGGUUCGAUCCUGGAGAGUGGGCCUGAGAGAUUGCUCAUACUUCUAAGGAAGGCAGCAGGCGCGCAACGUUCCCCUUGGGCAAUGCCCGAGGGCGUUAGGGGACAUAUGAAUGCCUGCCAUAUUGGUGGGCAAUUCAAAUGGGUCUGUUCUAAACAGCCUCUCGAGUAACAAUUAGAGGACAAGUCUGGUGCCAGCACCCGCGGUAAUUCCAGCUCUAAUAGCAUACGUUAAAGUUGUUGCGGUUAAAACGCUCGUAGUCGGCUUAAGAUCGUCAGACGCCCGAUCCGGGAGUCCAGGCCUGCUGCUCUUCGGAGCGCGCUGGAUGACUAGAGAGGGUUGGCGGCGGUCAAGUGUGCCUUGGGCUGCCUCCUUCGGGAGCCGCAGGGCCAGGCUCGGUCCCUUCACGGGGGCUGGGCUUGGUUCGGCCUGAGGUGCCAGUUACCAUGAUUAAACUGGGGUGAUCAAAGCAGGUCGUCAGACCUUGCACAGCACAGCAUGGCACAAGCGAAACCGGUCUGGCUCUAUUACGGGGGCUGGGCUGGUAGUAGCGAAAGGGGUGUUCGAGGGUGACCGAAUUGCCGGGCGAGUGGUGAAAUACGUUGACCCUGGCAAGUCGACCAAAGGCGAAAGCAGUCAUCAAGGGCAUUCCCGUUGAUCAAGAGCGAAAGUUAAGGGUUCGAAGACGAUCAGAUACCGUCGUAGUCUUAACUAUAAAUGAUACUGACCAGGGAUAGGAUACUGUCCAUCUCGACUCUUCCCGGACCUUAGAGAAAUCAGAGUCUUUGAGUUCUGGGGGGAGUAUGGUCGCAAGGCUGAAACUUAAAGGAAUUGACGGAAGGGCACACAAAGAGUGGAACCUGCGGCUUAAUUUGACUCAACACGGGAAAACUCACCAGGUCCGGAUACACGUAUGAAAGACAAGCUGAAAGACUUUUCUCAAUGAUGUAAGUGGUGGUGCAUGGUCGUUCUUAGUUCGUGGAGUGGUUUGUCUGGUCUAUUCCGAUAACGAGCGAGACCCCGGCGUUCCUAAUAGGGGCAGCAGCCCGGCUUUCGCCCGCAAGGGUGUUCGCUAGCACGCUGCCUCACAAUAUGCUUCUUAGACGUAUCAGAGCCGAUAAGGUUCUUGAAAUGGGUUAAUAACAGGUCAGUCAUGCCCUUAGAUGUUCUGGGCCGCACGCGCGUUACAAUGGCAUGCUUUAGAAAGUGCUCAAAAGGGCGUCUCCGCGGCCUACAGGCUGCGGUAACCCCUAGUCCCUGCCUUGACUGGGACAGACUAUUGCAAUUAUUGGUCUCAAACGAGGAAUUUUUAGUAGUCGCAGGUCAUUAACCUGCGACGAAUGCGUCCCUGCCCUUUGUACACACCGCCCGUCGCUGCUACCGAUUGGGUCCUGCGGUUACGAGUUCGGAGGCCGUCGGUGCUCCGCUUGCCUCACGGUAGGCGGGCGCCAUGGCCAAAGUUCUAAUUACCGCAUGGCCUAGAGGAAGCAGAAGUCGUAACAAGGUAAUCGUAGGUGAACCUGCG
rnacentral:rRNA from 1 species